rnacentral:rRNA from 1 species
AGAGUUUGAUCCUGGCUCAGAAUGAACGCUGGCGGCGUGCCUAACACAUGCAAGUCGGAUGUGCCGCAAGGUGCAUGGCAGACGGGUGAGUAACGCGUAGGGAAUCUACCUUUUUGUGGGGAAUAACGCUCCGAAAGGAGUGGUAAUACCGCAUGAGACCGCAGACUGGGAUGUUUGUGGUGAAACCUGGGGACCGCAAGGCCUGGGGCAAGAAGAGGAUCCUGCGUCUGAUUAGCUAGUUGGCGGGGUAAUGGCCCACCAAGGCGACGAUCAGUAGCCGGCCUGAGAGGGUGAUCGGCCACACUGGAACUGAGACACGGUCCAGACUCCUACGGGAGGCAGCAGUGGGGAAUUUUGCGCAAUGGACGAGAGUCUGACGCAGCAACGCCGCGUGGGUGAUGAAGGUCUUCGG